GCCGGGCACGGUGGCGGGUGCCUGUAAUCCCAGAUAUUCAGGAGGCUGGGACAGGAGAAUUGCCUGAACCCAGGAGGCAGAGGUUGCAGUGAGCUGAGACCCUGCCACUGCACUCUAGCCUGGGUGACAGAGCAAGAUUCUGUUUCAA
rnacentral:SRP_RNA from 1 species